rnacentral:lncRNA from 1 species
CACAAUCCAGUAGCAGCCGUCGCCCAAGCUCAGUUGGCCGGAGACGGGCAACAGCGAACAUGCUGAGCUGCUUCCCCACUUCGCGAGGCCGCAGCCCCAGGACCCCAGGCAGAGAAAGUAUCUGUGAAAGAUUGAGAAGACGGUUGACACCAUCCAGACGCAGCAGGCCGCACUGCAGCAGCGACACAACUGUGGGGAAUUCGGGACUCAUGGCUUCCCGUUCAGUCUUCUCAUCUUGGC